UACGGGAGGCAGCAGUGGGGAAUAUUGCACAAUGGGCGAAAGCCUGAUGCAGCUAUGCCGCGUGUAUGAAGAAGGCCUUAGGGUUGUAAAGUACUUUCAUCGGGGAGGAAAAACAAAACUAAUAAUUUUAUUUCUUGACGUUACCCGAAAAAGAAGCACCGGCUAACUCCGUGCCAGCAGCCGCGGUAAUACGGAGGGUGCUAGCGUUAAUCAGAAUUACUGGGCGUAAAGAGCACGUAGGUGGUUUUUUUAAAGUCAGAUGUGAAAAUCCCUGGGCUUAACCUAGGAACUGCAUUUUGAAACUGAAAUACUAGAGUAUCGUAGAGGGAGGUAGAAUUCUAGGUGUAGCGGUGAAAUGCGUAGAUAUCUAGAGGAAUACCUGUGGCGAAAGCGGCCUCCUAAACGAAUACUGACACUGAGGUGCGAAAGCGUGGGGAGCAAAACAGGGAUUAGAUACC
rnacentral:rRNA from 1 species